GCCCCGGUGGCCUAAUGGAUAAGGCAUUGGUCUCCUAAACCAAAGAUUGUGGGUUCAAGUGUUCAAAUCCCAUCUGGGGUG